UCAACCAAAAUGAAAAGGUCGAUCACAGCUAGAUUGACAUCUACCUCAACAUGUCUAGUGAUGGCAACAUGGAGGAACCAAUUGUCAAGGAAGGCAAUGUUGGGCAACACGGCGAGGUAUAGCAAUUAUUAUAUAUAAACAUGAUUUGAAUUCUCUACUUAUCAAGAUUAUUGGGAAUUAAUAGUUCUUUUAUUUUUCAGCCAUCUAGAUCGAGCAGCAGGCCUAAACGGAAAUGAGGCAAGAAG
rnacentral:lncRNA from 1 species